CCUGUCUCAAAAAGAAAAGUUUUAAAAUUUUUUUUAAAAGAGUAAUUGUGAAAAAUAAAAAUAAAAAUAAACUGUAAUUGUGAAAUAGUACCAUAACAAACUUGUACUUCCUUUUACUAAAUGGCAAACAUUAAAAAAAAAAAAAAACUUCUGUGUAUAAAAUCAUUUUCUUUGGGGCGUCCCCUCCCCCUUUUUUGGUAUUAUGUUUUGCAUUUUAAAAUCACUUCUCCCUGUCGUUUGUUACACAAGUACAAAUGGCUCAAAAGGCUUGAAUACACAGAGCCUGCACAUCUCAGGAAGAUACAGUAUAACCAAAUGGGGGGUUCACCCAGGAACUCUGACUUCUUCAUGAUAUAGUCAGUGAGAAAUAGAAAUUUAGCUUUGGAAGUGAGAAUCCUGGAGUUUAUACCACCUUGAUUAAAAUAAUUUUGGAAAAUUAAAAAAUAGAAAUCCAGCAGUUGGAAUAACCUCUGUUUAGAUUGUUUCUGUAAUAAGUACAAUAUCAAUAACAGACUAGUUUCCAUGUUUAGUACUCUUUAUUAAUGACUUCUUAAGUGAAUUAGUGCUCUUCUUCAGAACUUGUACAGUAGGUUGUCUUUUCUCCAUCUGGGAGCGUACCCAUGUGCUGAUCUUAGAAGCUUUCUGUGACGAGAUUCCCCCUUACCUGUGUUCUCUGUAGUUAUGUUUUCAUUUUUAUCCCUAUCUUCUUUUCCUAGAUGGGACUAGAUGGGACUUCUUUAAGUCAUACAGUCCAGGCUGGAAGACAGCAGCUGUUGGAAACUUUCUUUUCAGUCAUGUCAUUGUCAGUUUUUAAUGCUACUCUGUUUUUUCUUCUGCAUUUUUUUAUCACAGUAAGCUUUUCUAAAAACCUUCCUGUUGAGUGCCAUUUUAUACUGUACAAUGCGAUAUUUUUAUCUGUUUCUCAUGUUUUUUAAAUAAAAGCUGGUUGGAGCUAGUGGUAGAAGGAAGUUCAACAAUCUAUAACUCAACUAGUUUUUUUUAAAUUAAAGCUAUACUUAAUUUUGAGUUAGUUAAAAAUCAUUUCAAGUAUUUUCUUUUUAUUAAUGUGAAACUAAAGAAUAUAACCUUUAAAUAAAAUUAAGCCUUAGAGCAAAUAAAAUCAUUCAGAGAAAUCAUUCAGAGAACAUUAAAAUUUUACUUUUAAAAUUUAAUAUAUCAUCACAAAGUGUAUGUAGCACUUGUACAAGGUGAAUUGUUGACGAAAUGGAGUGAUUCUUUUUAAGUCACACGAGUCUGAAUGCCUCCACUGUAUUAAAAAGUGAUUAAAGGAUUGUGAACAGGAGCAGAACAGUAGCAGAACAACCAGGGGACAAUCUUAAACCCUUUUUGCCUUAGGAGACCUCCUGCAUGUUUUCAUGAGCAGAGGGUUUAAUCAGGAGCAACAGUGGUUCACUGUUCACUAUGUGGCUCAGUCUGGGUGGGUUAUGCAAGUGGCCAUCUCAGAAGAUUUGUAAAAAUAGCUUACAUAAAGAAAUAUAAAUUACAUAGUGAAAUCAUUUAUUGUAGUUGCAUUCAUGAGAUAGACAGUCAUAAAUACAACCUCAUAGAUUAGUGAGCAACAAACCUUGGCAAGUGAGAGAGAAUAUAUUAUUCUUCACUUUCUCUGUAAAGCUACAUGGGGGAAUCGCAUACACCCCACUGGCAGGAACAGCAGCAGGUCCAGCUUUGAAGUUACUUCCCUGCUUUAACAGCUGAGCUGGGAAGAGAUGGAAGCCCUGCAGCCACACUUCAAAGUGACCCAGCUCAUAGCCUGCUUCUGCCUAUCGUGAUCCUGUGGAACUGUUUUCUUUGGAAGCAGAAUGGAACAACAGAUGAAGUAGUGUAUCCAGUAUCCUCCUGUUCUCUAUCAAAACCUGCUUCCAAGAAGGAAUGGAAAAUACUUCACAAAAAUACUCCACAAAAGUAUGACUGAUAACAAAGUGUUGCUUCUACAGGGUGUUCGGUCUGCAUUUUAACAGAGACAAACUUCAAUUGGAAGGACAUGAUGUUUUCAGAUACUACAAAGCUGUGGUAUUCUAAGGGAUAAGAAAACGUUUAUGACCUCUGAAGUGAGAUCAUGUGAGCAAUGAACUAAACUCCACUUACACAUCAUCUUUGGCUACUAUUUCCAAUUCUUCUCUCCUUGAUUGUCUUAGUUUAAGAAAUAGCAAUCAUAAUGUCAUUUCUUCCCCACCAAACUACUAAAUGUAUUGCAACUCCUAAAAAAA